AUUUAUAUAAUAUAACUAAUUAUAAUUGAUUUCCAAUCAAUAAGUCUAACUAAAUUUAGUAUAAAUA
rnacentral:tRNA from 1 species